rnacentral:rRNA from 1 species
CUUUAUUCCAUCGUCAUACACACCAUACAGGGUUUAGUACAAGACCAAACAAAGUACUAUUACGGUGAAAAAGGAUUACAUCUCAUCGGAGGCAUACCAAGCUCCUAUACAUUAUUUUUCUACACCUCCGGAAGGAGUACAAACUAGGUCAUAUCCCACGAGUCACGCAGGACGAUAGACGACACAGCUAGUGCGAACUAGUGAUACUACCACUAACUCAGACCGAUCCGUAGUAGUCCUCGUAAAAGUCACCUCCAUAGCCUGGAAGUUCCACAUGAUCAUCCGGAAACAGACGGUCUCGCGGAGCUUGUGGACCAUAGGUGAGCGCAUGCUCCAGUGUUGAGAUGAUUCUUGGUGUUCUUGGUUGGUCUGCUGGGUGUAGUUAUAAUCCGCUUGGUGUUCUUGAGUGCUAGUGUAGUCGUGAUGCACAGUUGACCUUCAUCUCCACUGAAGCUGAGACAAUUUUGGAAGCACCAAUGGAUGAAAUGUUUUGGGAGCAGUCAGGUCUCAGUUCCCUUUACUUUGUCAAAGCAGGCAGAGUGAAGGCAGAUGAAACUAGAACCAGAUGUUACCACGCUUCAUUUGGAAGCGAGAGUGUACAUAGCUGAGCGAGUAGUAUACUGUUAGUGCAGGGAUUGGCUGGGUUUAUACAGAAAAAGGCCUCCGUGAAUGACCAAAUAAAGGCUGGUUUCUUCUCUCUUUUUUACCCUUCUGAGGGUUGCAUAUACUAGUUGUGUAAUUGAAUGUGCAGCUACAGUUUUUACCUGGAAUCUCAGUGUCCCAAAAUGUUGACCCUAUUUGGAUACUCGGUGUCAUGAAUCUCCUUUCUUACCC